rnacentral:rRNA from 1 species
AGUCGAGCGGACAGAUGGGAGCUUGCUCCCUGAUGUUAGCGGCGGACGGGUGAGUAACACGUGGGUAACCUGCCUGUAAGACUGGGAUAACUCCGGGAAACCGGGGCUAAUACCGGAUGGUUGUUUGAACCGCAUGGUUCAAACAUAAAAGGUGGCUUCGGCUACCACUUACAGAUGGACCCGCGGCGCAUUAGCUAGUUGGUGAGGUAACGGCUCACCAAGGCGACGAUGCGUAGCCGACCUGAGAGGGUGAUCGGCCACACUGGGACUGAGACACGGCCCAGACUCCUACGGGAGGCAGCAGUAGGGAAUCUUCCGCAAUGGACGAAAGUCUGACGGAGCAACGCCGCGUGAGUGAUGAAGGUUUUCGGAUCGUAAAGCUCUGUUGUUAGGGAAGAACAAGUACCGUUCGAAUAGGGCGGUACCUUGACGGUACCUAACCAGAAAGCCACGGCUAACUACGUGCCAGCAGCCGCGGUAAUACGUAGGUGGCAAGCGUUGUCCGGAAUUAUUGGGCGUAAAGGGCUCGCAGGCGGUUUCUUAAGUCUGAUGUGAAAGCCCCCGGCUCAACCGGGGAGGGUCAUUGGAAACUGGGGAACUUGAGUGCAGAAGAGGAGAGUGGAAUUCCACGUGUAGCGGUGAAAUGCGUAGAGAUGUGGAGGAACACCAGUGGCGAAGGCGACUCUCUGGUCUGUAACUGACGCUGAGGAGCGAAAGCGUGGGGAGCGAACAGGAUUAGAUACCCUGGUAGUCCACGCCGUAAACGAUGAGUGCUAAGUGUUAGGGGGUUUCCGCCCCUUAGUGCUGCAGCUAACGCAUUAAGCACUCCGCCUGGGGAGUACGGUCGCAAGACUGAAACUCAAAGGAAUUGACGGGGGCCCGCAC